rnacentral:tRNA from 1 species
GCCGUGGUCGCAUAACCUGGUAGUGCGCUGGCCUUGAGAGCCAGUUUCCGAAAGGAUAUCUCGGUUCAAAUCCGGGUCACGGCG